CCAAAGGCCCUCUUUAGGGCCACCACAUUAAAUAAUUUUUUUUCAA
rfam:Strongyloides ratti strain ED321 Heterogonic genome assembly, chromosome: 2